rnacentral:lncRNA from 1 species
AGUUCUGGUUAAGGAAUAUCUCUGGUAAACUAUUUACUGUAUAUACAUUAGCUCUUAUUAUUGCAUAUUAGAACAAUUUGCAUUUUCUAAUUAUCAUAUUCUUUCCAUUUUUCACUUUUGUUUAGCUAUUUGGUGCAUGCAAAGAUCUGAAAAUAAAUUAUUUGAACUUGAGAAACCAUUUUGAAUGACUAUGCAGCAUCCUUUCUAAAAAAAAAAAAUCAUAUUCACCCAAGUCAUUUUGACCAUCACUCCCAUCUUCUCGUCUUUAUUUUUAAAGUAAUUGAGAUCUUUCAUCCUAACCAAAUAUAGUGGAGUUUAAUAUACUAUGAGGAAAGGCUGGCAGUAAAAUUACUGCCAUAAUUAUUUAAUCUCAACAUAAAUUCUGUGACCAAAUGUAGGGAAAACACAUAGAUGAUUUUAACUGUAGUUUAAGGUUUAAACAAAAAACCUCAAAUCCAACCCGUUUUCUUUCUUCCCUUUCCGCCCCUUCCCAACCCCACCCCAUAAUGGAUGCUCGGUUGACUGCCUUUGCACGGUCUCUUUGUCUGAAGGAUGCAAACAGUCUAUGGAUGCUAGGGAAAAAGGGGUGGGGGAGAGAUUACCUCAUCCCAUGUCGUUUGCACCAAUCACCACUCUCCUGUCGUGGCUUCUCUGGGCAGAUUGAGGGGUCUGGACCAACAGGAAAAGGCCCUGGCCCAUCCCCAUGGUGACCGAGUUGUAUAUAGGGAGCCGCAUCCGCCUUUGCGCCGCAGGUUCUCUUACAUCGACCGCCUAAGAGUCGCGCUGUAAGAAGCAACAACCUCUCCUCUCCUCUCCUCUCCUCUCCGCCAUCUGCUCUGCAGCCGCGAAGCAGCAACCAUGGUAAGAAUGUGUUUUUUCCGGCUCUUUUUGGCCGGUGGGUGGAGUCAGAACCCUGGGAUAUUCUUGGAAAACCUUAAGCCCUUUUCUUUUGUAAUCUCUUUGGGUUCCGGUAGUCUUACGCUGUGUGAGGUUUAGUUAGCUUUGUUCUACCCUAAAUCCUUAAGCCCCGCUGCCGACGCAGUGCGGGAGCUGAAACCCGGGUAGAAAUGUGCCCAGGACGCUGGAGAAUCAUGGGGAAGAGCAAAGGCGGCGCGAGGGGUUUUUGUUACCCGAGAACCCUACGGGACCACAAGCAGCCCAUCUGCAGUGCGGGAAGGGUCUGGGGCCGGAAAAGGCGGUGGUUGUGUCCUGUACUGGGCCCUUGCAUUUCUGAGCCAGGAUUCGUUUAAUUCCAAGAAUCCCUUUUCUUUCUUAUAUCGCUCCCAAGAGCGGGGAGGGGAGGAGGAGGAGGAGUCUAAAAAAAGAGGAAGA